ACCAAGUUGGUGGAUUCAAAAUUUUUUCGUUAAGUACACGUAAAGUAUUUCGUCGUAAAGAACUCGCGAAGUUUACGUGGUAUUACGAGGAAAUAGUGUUUCCUCGUAAAAGCCACGUCAAUUAACAUCGUCUUUACGACGAAAUUGUUUUGUCGUUACCUUACGACGAAAUAACGAUGCUUCUCUUUUUCCACGUACUUUCCUCGCAUAAUCAACGUACUUUUACGAGGAUUAUUUUUCCUCGUUAAUUAUCCUCGUUAAACUUACGUUUUCUUGUAGUGUAUGUAUAAAUCAUGUACUUUUAAACCGGAAAACCGAUUGGAACUCAAACCCGAAAAUACAUCGGGUUGUACUGGUUCUUUGACGAUUUACCAACCAAGACCCGAAUCCUACAAAACCCGAACCGGUCCCGAACCAAACUUUUAUAUAACCGGAAUGGGACUGAUUUUGAUAAACCCGAAAAACCAAAAUCCGACUUGACAAAACCGAAAUCGAUUGAGACCCCGAAAGACCAUGUCUAACUUUGGAUAUUCCUAUAUUGGAGAGGAUUCAGAAGAGCUGGAGUUCUAAAGGCAGUCCAACAAAGGAUCGUAUCUCAUCUCGGAUUGAGCUUCCUCUGGUAUAAUUUUGGUGAUUCAAAGUUCCUUUGCUCAAGUAUUCACGGUUAAGUGGAAGGCCUUUUGGUGUCGGAGAUCUUGCAGAGGAGAGAUAGGCGUCGUUGGGAAGGUUGGACGGUGGAAAGAUUCUACGGUGCGGCCGAGAAUGCCGUUCAACGCAUGGAAGACACGUGUCCAAGUGAUGCGGAUUCAGAUGGAUAGUUCACUAACACGUGGUCUAACAUCCAGAUGUUUCUACAAUUGGGCUUGUAAUGUUUUAAUUUUACUGGACCUCUCUGCUCUUGUAUUUGUGGUACCAAAUGUAUUUCAGCUCAAUGGGCUUAACCAAUGAAAAACUCAGUUGACCAAAAAAAAGAAAUAAUAUUGAUAAUUGCUUGAUAUAAUUUUUCGUGAGUUUAUAAAAAGCAUAUGGUUGAUGAGUUAAAUUUGAAAAUGAAGGAAAUUUAUCUAUGAAAGGAAACACAAGAAGACAAAAAAAUCGUGGACGCUCUGGUGAUAGUGCCUGCAAAUAAUAUUGAAGCAUAGAUCGUUCUCCAAACUACUAAAAGCAUAUUAAUGCGUUACAUUCCGGAAGCUUUCUAGAACUUGUGGAACGACCAACAAAAUAAAAUGACGAUAGUAUAAUCAGAAUGAGACUGAUUUUGAUAAACCCGAAAAACCAAAACAUGACUUGACAAAACCGAAAUCGAUUGGGACCCCGAAUGCCCAUGUCUAACUUUGAAUAUUCCUAUAAUCCUAUUCUAUGUUUCUCAAUGUAUUUUCUGUCUUCCUCAUUUUGAUUAUAUUUAAAAUUUAAAUUUAAAUUCAAUUUAUGUCUCAUUGUAUAUUCUCUCUUCUUCAUGUAGAUCAUAUUCAAGUGUUUAAAAUUCACAUUUCAAAUUUGGUCAACUUUUUUCUUAUUAAAGUUCAAUACCUUAGUUUUUCUCAAAUUUUCAUGCAUUGCAAAUGUAUAUUAGAUUAAAUAUUUAAAAUAAUAUAAUAUUUGAAGUUCAACACGACGUAAAUAAACUGACCUUUUCAUCCCUAAUGAACAUUUGCAAUUCCACUUAGUUAAGUUGACCUUUAUUUCUUUCAAUCUUCAUGAUGCAAUUAUUUGUAGAAAAUCUAAUUUUUGUGGCUAUUAGCUUAUUGGAUUCCUAGCUUAUUACACACAAUUUCUCAUAAUUUAAUUAAUUGCUUGGGCGAUGCCGUGUACCUGCGGGAAUCACAUAUUGGCAGUAAUAUGUUGACAUGUCUAUCCAGGUACGUGAUGUAUGUACUUAUGACUGUUUCUUUGAAUCGCAACAUAUCCGAAGUGUGGAGAAAAUUGGUUUCUUAACAUAAUAAGACUUCGACACGUAGUCUGCAAACUCUGUCCCAGACGGCCAGACCUCAACCUGCAUAUGCUUCCCUCAUCUUACGUUUUUGAAAGAAAACUGAAGUUCAGAAAGUACAAUCAUAAAUGUUAACUAAUAAAGAUUUGGUUAACUAAUAAAGAUUUGGUCAGAAUACCCAGGUCCAGCCCUGGUCUAAAGUUCAGCAAGCAAGGGCUUUAGACACCAAAUUAUAUCAUGAACUUAGGAGCACAAAAUUUUGUCAAAACUAUCUCUAAUAUAGUGGCAAAAGGUGUGUACAAUAAACCCAUGAACCUGCGUUCGAACAUCUUUUAAGUAUUUAUGGGGCAAUUAUUUUUUCUUUGCUUUAGGCAAUGAUAUGAUGAUGUUAGGCACUCAGAGCCGUGCCCACCAUGUCUUUAAAAAGGCUUUUGCCUCGGGUCCCCAAAUAAAUAUAAUCUUUUUGGGGUCCCAAAUUACAAAAUGUUUGUUAUGGUGUAGUGGUAAAUUACAAGAUUUUGCCUUAGGUCUCAUCUAACAUAAGCACGCUACUGUAGGCACUGAGAAUACCAUCAGCUAAACUCUCUCAAAAGAAAGUCUUCCCGGCAGUUUUACUUUCCUCCGGUUUCGAUUUUCAGAUUUGGAACGCUGGUGAAGACUAUGUUUGGCAGUCAUGUUCUUCUGGAGUGGCGACGAGGUUAAGGUAGUAGGGUGCGGCGAGGUCGGCUUCUUCGGAGGUUAGAUCCAGAUCGGCAAUUUUAUCUUAACCUCGAUUUAGAUCUCGCCAAAGUUAGUGGCGUGUACGGCUCUCCUGGCCCAUAUUUGUUUGGUCUUUGUCGGUGUGGGGCGAUGGAAUCGGCUAUCUAUCCUCCGCCUCGGCGUCUCGGUGUAGGAGGAGUCUUUGACCCCGUACAGAUCGGACUUUGACGAUUUCUUCUGUCAAGGCAUGCGUCGGUUUCGCUUCUCCUGGCAGUGUCGGUUUGAAGCUUUCCAACAACAUGUAUAAAGUUUCUGGUUCGGUGAGACAGGGAGUCGUGUACACUUUGGCGUCAUCUUCUUGUUCUCUGCUCUGGUUUUCGCCUUCAAUCCACGACUUGUCUUGUGAUUCUCUUUCCACCAGAAGUGCACAUCCUAGGUGGAGAGUUGUCGGGUUCUGGUCUUCAUGGUUAGUAGCCAUCGUUAGCUACCGUUCGGCUACAUUUCAAGUUGAAGAACCGUCUUCUUGUUCUAAGAGGUGGAGUGAGUGGGCGUUUGUUGUGAUUCACAAGUGUCCAGAGCUCCAACCUCUCCAUCCCAGUAUCGGAGUCUUGAUCUCUACAAGCUUCGACAUGAUUCCUUCUUUCUUCUUAUUGCAGGCACUCCACUUGAUUAGGCGGCCUCAGUUCAAUCUGGUCCUUGCUCAGUGUUGGGUGAAUUUGUCUUGGGCGUUUGCUCCAGUUACAAGUAUGAAUUUUCUGGAUCUUGUGUAACCAGAUUUACGCUUCAACGUUAGUGAAGAUUGCGAGCGUGAGGAGAACAUCAUGAACUAUGUUGAUAGCAUAAGAUGUACCAGUAACCGAGGAAACAAGGUGAACACCACCUUUCAAGUGAUUACCGUAGAUGACUGAGAAGUGAGAACAAAGAAUGAAAAUCUUAAGAUAUUGUAACUACCUAGCGGAAUGAGCUGAUGGAGUGGUGGUUGAACGAAUUUAAAGAUAUUACAGUAGACUUAGAUCAUUUUAUUUGAAUCAUGUUUGUAACCAAAGCUUGAAUUUCUGAUUUUCAGAAAAACUAAUUAAAAAAAAAAAAAAAAAUUUGGUUAGAAAACAUUA